GGCUCAGAUGGUAAAGCAUCUGCCUGCAAUGCAGGAGACCCAGAUUCGAUUUCUGG
rnacentral:tRNA from 1 species